rnacentral:tRNA from 1 species
AGCCCGUUCGUCUAGUGGCCAAGGAUAGGGGCCUCUGGAGCCUCUGACCCAGGUUCGAAUCCUGGACGGGCUA